UACGUAGGGUGCGAGCGUUAAUCGGAAUUACUGGGCGUAAAGCGUGCGCAGGCGGUUUUGUAAGUCAGAUGUGAAAUCCCCGAGCUCAACUUGGGAACUGCGUCCGAAACUACAAGACUAGAAUAUGUCAGAGGGGGGUAGAAUUCCACGUGUAGCAGUGAAAUGCGUAGAGAUGUGGAGGAAUACCAAUGGCGAAGGCAGCCCCCUGGGAUAAUAUUGACGCUCAUGCACGAAAGCGUGGGGAGCAAACAGG
rnacentral:rRNA from 1 species